GACGAACGCUGGCGGCGUGCUUAACACAUGCAAGUCGAACGGAAAGGCCCUGCUUUUGUGGGGUGCUCGAGUGGCGAACGGGUGAGUAACACGUGAGUAACCUGUCCUUGACUUUGGGAUAACUUCAGGAAACUGGGGCUAAUACCGGAUAGGAGCUCCUGCUGCAUGGUGGGGGUUGGUAAGUUUCGGCGGUUGGGGAUGGACUCGCGGCUUAUCAGCUUGUUGGUGGGGUAGUGGCUUACCAAGGCUUUGACGGGUAGCCGGCCUGAGAGGGUGACCGGCCACAUUGGGACUGAGAUACGGCCCGGACUCCAACGGGAGGCAGCGGUGGGGAAUUUUGCACAAUGGGCGGGAGCCUGGUGCGGCAACGCCGCGUGCGGGAUGACGGCCUUCGGGUUGUGAACCGCUUUCGCCUGUGACGAAGCGUGAGUGACGGUAAUGGGUAAAGAAGCUCCGGCUAACUACGUG
rnacentral:rRNA from 1 species